rnacentral:lncRNA from 1 species
ACGAAUUGCUCUGGGCUGCUGCUUGGUUGUAUCAAGCAUCUAACAACCAAUAUUACUUGGAUUACCUUGGUAGAAAUGGUGACUCCAUGGGUGGAACUGGUUGGCAAAUGACUGAAUUUAGUUGGGAUGUUAAGUAUCCUGGUGUUCAAACUUUAGUUGCUAAGGUAACAUCAAUUUUUUCAAAAUAUUGAUAUAAUCAAAUGCAUUUAUUGACAAUGACGCAUAAUGUUCAAACACAUAUUGGCUAAUGUCUAGUAUGUAUUAUCAAACAUUUGUGGCUAAACAGUUUUCUACUGUUUCUUGAUGUGUAGUUCCUGAUGCAAGGGAAAGCUGGUGUUCAUGCACCUGUGUUUGAAAAAUAUCUGCAGAGGUCUGAGUAUUUCAUGUGUUCAUGCAUUGGAAAGGGUACUCGUAAUAUUCAGAAGACACCUGGUGGCCUAAUAUACCGUCAGAGAUGGAACAACCUGCAAUUUGCCACAAGUUCCUCCUUUUUAGCCACUGUCUAUUCUGACUACCUUGCUUCUUCUGGUAGAAACUUGAAAUGUGCUUCUGGAAAUGUUCCUUCUUCCCAGCUUCUCUCCUUUGCAAAGUCUCAGGUAAUUAAUUCCAUCUCAUUUAAUUCAACUUUAAGGUCUAUGAUGUGCAAACACCAGAUACAGAACAUUGACACCAGGCUCACAUUUAAUACGAAGUGUUGGUGCUACAUAUUUCAAGGGAGCUCAUCAAUUUUUGUGUUUAAAAUUAAUCUUCAGGUGGACUACAUUCUUGGAGACAACCCAAGAGCUACAAGUUACAUGGUUGGAUAUGGAAACAAUUACCCUCAAAGAGUUCACCACAGAGGUUCAUCCAUUGUGUCAAUCAAGGCUAAUCCAAAUUUUGUCAGCUGUAAUGGAGGUUAUGCUACUUGGUUUAGCAGCAAAAAGAGCAACACCAAUAUACU